GAAAAAUUGAGAGUUUCAAUUUAGCUCUUCCAGUCGUCUAAUCGCUUAUCUUGGUCAUUUUAACUUUCCGUUUCCAGAAUUUCAAGUUCACAACGAGUGUUCCACUCCCUGGCACUAGGCGGCAACCUUGUAGCAUUAGCGAAUAUUAACGUACAGACACGAAAACUCGGUUGUAAUCGUGACUUUCCCAAAUUUCGGUGCUUUUUCAGUCCAUCUGUAAGAUGGUAUGUGUAUCUUACAUUAGGUUUUCAUUAGAUUCUUGGCAUUUCAAGUUAAAUCUUGAUUGAUCCCAGAGUAAAAAAGGAAUCACUGGCUGCUGUCAGUUAUGCAGAAGACGUUGCUAAUUCGCACGAAAGAAAAUUCGGCAAACUUUUUCGCCGCAGUAGUUAUACAGUGAGUCUGUAAUCAAGAAAUGUUCACAUAUUAAAUUCCACCAUUUCAUCGUUUACGGAAGAGCUGAGUGCAUGGAAUUUCCUAAAAACAAUAUAUACAUCAAAGUUUACGUACCUGGCCGACCAGAAAUUCCAAGACCAGGAAGCUGAGGGGACACGUGAGCCAUGGGCAUGGCCGUGAUGGCAAGCGCCCCUUCCUUCCCCAUUGCCUGUUACUCUUGCCUUGAGUGUGUGCUCUCUGAGAUGGUCUCCUUAAUAACUGGCACCUCAUUAUCAUCACAUACAGGCAAACACAGGAAACGUGCUGGUGGUCGCGGUAAUGCAGGUGGCAUGCAUCACCACAGAAUAAACUUUGACAAAUAGUGAGUAUGGGGCCGUUUGUGCUGGGCGGGGGGCUCGUGGCACCUGUGUGAAAGCGGGCUAUAUGGGUGGAGAUGAUUAAGGCUGACACUGGGCAUGUGGGAUCAUUAGGUGCCUCGCAUGUUUGAUAACAUGAGGCAUCGUGCCAGGGUCUUUCACAAAACCAAGGCUUGGGCUUCUGAAGGAAAGUAGUGAAUGAUGUACAUGUGUACAUUUUAUAUGCAAAAUGUUAUAAAAGAAACUUUGAGAAGUAACAGAUCAUUGGCAAAUACUGUUUUAUUGUUUCAUGAUUCAUUGUAUCUUCAUCCAUUGUGAGUGUGUACCUUUAUUGAACUAAUAGUUUGUGUUGAAUGUUGGUGUGGUUUUCUGAGUCAUUGUCAGGAUCUCCAGCUCAGGACUCGGGCAUAACGUUUUCUGCUGGUCUGCAACAUGACUGAGGUUAGAUUCUCAUCCUGAAAUUUGCCAUUGCCUUGGAGUCUCUAUGCAGCAGCGGCUUUUGUGAGGCAGCACCACGGUAUAGUGUCUUAAUUCAUUUCAGUAGACAUCCAUUGUGCAAAGUGACAUUAAAUGUAUAGUUGGAAACUAGAUUCUUGAGACGGUCCGCCUUUCUUUAGGCGUCAUUACGGAAAGGAUUGGUCAUCAUCUCUUUAGAGUUUCAAUCACUGAGUUGCUAGUGUAAGAGAUACUUAAUCUGACGGGUGGUACCCUUCCUUAUAGUUAAAUUUUAUUUUUCAAGUUUGGGAUUUCAUUUUUGCCCCAAAGAUGCGUUAUGUCGUGUAGGAGAUGUUUCUGUGAGGAUGAGUAGUGAUGUGGACCCUCAGGACUGCGCGCCUCCUCUGUCAGCGUGUUUUCUGUUUGCUUUUGCUGUCUGACAUCAGCUGUGCUCAUCACACCCAGCCAUCCGGGUUACUUCGGAAAGGUUGGUAUGAGACAUUAGCACCUGAAGAGGAACUCGAUGUUCUGCCCAACCAUCAACCUGGACAAGCUCUGGAAAAUGGUCAGUGAGCAGACCAGAGUUAAUUAUGGCAAGAAGCCAGACGGUCCUGCCGCCGUCAUCGAGGUCAUGCAAGCAGUAAGUGAAAAGUCAUGCUUUGUUGCAGCAGACUGGCAUAGGGACUGUUCUGGGAUUCCUUCCAUGAGUCUGUGAGGAGUUUUAACUUAAGAGUUAAGUGCUAUCCACUGAUUUUUUUUUAUAUCACUGAAAUUGUUUUUUUUUUUUUAAAAAGCUGUUGAAAGGUGUCAUCUUCACUGUUAUAAAUCAGGCAUGUACACGCAGAGGGAAUAUGCUGGUUUGGCAUGUGCCUGAGUUUUAAUUCUGUGUAUUUUACCAUAAUGGACUAAGCGGGGUGCUUUUUGGCCAUCGCCCCGUGUUCCUUGGGUAGGUCUGGUUCAUGGUGGAUUUUUCCAUCUUCCAUCUGAUGUAAAUUCUCCUCAUAGUUUUCUGCAAAGAAUUCUGCAUCUCAAAAACCUUGAAAUAUCAACAGUUGAUAAAAAGGACUAAAAUAGACAUUGAACUAUAUAUACCGUUAAAUGGAAACUGCGUGGAAGUGGAAAAAGUUCCUGCCUACAAGUCAUGUGGUUGAUUAUAGUGAGAUUAGUGUUUCCAACUUCGGUUUAAAUUUGGGUUGUUUUAAUAUCAGGCACCAGUUUGCAUAUUUCGAACUGACUGGUGAGCAUUUUUGUUGAGGAUAUUAAAUUGUCAGACUGCUCUGCUUGGUCAUUUUUGCAGCUAAGUUUCUUCCAUCCAACAUCCCACCUAGACUGAUACAGUUAACAAAGCACUUUGUAUUUUUACUUUACAGCAGGAAUUCAUUUAUAUUUGUUUUCACAGUUCUUGUUAAUAGAUAUUUCUUACUCUUUUUGGCAACAUUUUUGAUUUCUUUCAAACAUCACGCUGAAAUUAAGGAUUAUGGUGGUUUGACCAGAAACACUGGUUAAUUUCACCCUCAGUUUUUUCACAGAAAAAGUGAAAUUUUACAAUCAAAUGGCAGAAACCUGACAUGGAAAUGAAAGUGAGGUCAAUCAUCAGUUCAGGGGAUACCCAGUACCUAAUGUGUUGGGCAAAGGGAAACUCCCAAAGCAGGCCCGUCAUCGUGAAGGCCAAGUUCUUCAGCAGGAAGGCUGAGGAGAAGAUUACGGAAGUGGGAGGGGCUUGUGAGCUCAUGACAUGGACAGUUUUAAAGAAUAAAUGGGAUAUAUGGAGUAUUUUUGUACAGCUUUGUUUAGCUUUUAUGCUUUGUGUUUUGUGAGGUGUCCUGGUACUGCUUACUUGCUGCAAGCACCUGCUAAUCAAGCUUCUGUUUUAUGUCAUGGCACUAGAUCCAUCCCCCUCAGCUGCAUUUGGUAGUGAGGUGUGUAUAAAUUUGCACAAAAUAUGUGUGUGGAGUGGGGGGGGAUCCACCGUUAGCUGUGUGGGUUUGUGGAAACACCCAGAUGGGUUUUCAGCACCACAUUUGGUUAUUCUAUAAAGGGUCUCUGAAGCAUAAAAUUCAAUUUCUGCUACUGUAGAUGACACCUAAAGUUGCAAAGAUACAGAUAAUUUAAAAAAAAACUCCAGCAGUUUGAAAAUAGGUUCAUAUUAUUGGACUGGGUAGUUCUGGUACUUAUUAUAAGUUCUGCUGUAAGUUUUUGAGAAGUGUAAUAUUACCUCUGUGACAGGUGGUUCGUGUCAUGAACCAAGGCUCAGAAUUCCAGUGAUAUAAGCACCACAUAUACUAAUUCUCCCGAGUGGAAAAUAAUUCGGCUUUGCAGUUUAUUUACCUUGACCAUAGUAAUCACAGGUGCCAGAUGAGUAUUGUCUUUGUGUACAUUUGUGUAUUUAUAAACCUUCUGGGCUUUGUAGUGCAUGGGAUUUACUCAUUUAAAAUACUUAUAUCAAUUAUGAGGAAAAAAAACAUGAAAAAUAAAAAACCAGUAUUCAAAGUUAGUUACAUUCUCUUCAUCAUAAUUCAAGAACUU